rnacentral:rRNA from 1 species
UACGUAGGGUGCAAGCGUUGUCCGGAAUUAUUGGGCGUAAAGAGCUCGUAGGCGGCUUGUCGCGUCGACUGUGAAAACCUGGGGCUUAACUCCGGGCCUGCAGUCGAUACGGGCAAGCUAGAGUUCGGUAGGGGAGACUGGAAUUCCUGGUGUAGCGGUGAAAUGCGCAGAUAUCAGGAGGAACACCAAUGGCGAAGGCAGCUCGCUGGGACGGUACUGACGCUGAGACGCGAAAGCGUGGGGAGCGAACAGG